AUAAAUUGGAAAGAUGAAAUGCUAAAGAAUCAGAGGCAUUUUCACUACUUUGAAAGAGUAAUGGCAGUAGUAUUUAUAGUGGACAUUUGUAACCAUGACCAGUUUACCUACGAUGACCCGCCAAAGAAUAUCCUUGAAAGUAUGGAACUGUUUAAAACUGUUUGCAACAACAAGUAUUUCAAAGACAGAGUUGUAAUCCUCUAUUUGAGCGGAACAGACAUAUUUGAAGAAAACCCAAAGCCUACCUCAUUAAAUAUUUGAUUCCUGAAUAUUCUGAUCAAGAUACAUUGGAAGACGCAGCUUUUUAUGUUCAAUGUAAAUUUGCAUUUUUGAAGAACAACAAAUUUAGUACAGAACUUGUAUGGACUACACCUACCAAAAAUGACAUGAUUGUGACUGAAGCUGUUUAAUACGUAAUAAUGAAAAAAAUUUAUAAGAAUGUUCCUCAUGAUUGGUUUGACAACAUGCUUUAAAAUGAGCAGCGUUCCAUUGUCGAUACAAGUGAAGCCAUUGAACAGAGCAACAUCCCUUUUAACCUUUACCCUGCUGAAUUUCUAAAAUGGAAUUGUUCGUCAAUCAAUUUGGGCAGUACCAUUUAUUAUUCAAAGUGGUGUUCACUGAAAUUUACUGAUUGAUUAGCAAACAGUGCAGACUAUGUUGUACAGGCUGAGGCUGAUCUUGGUCUGCACUUGCCGCAAAGGCAAACUCUCUUGCCGCUAGCAAGCUAAAGAUUAAGAUGCGACACAUGAUAACUUUAUCCUUUUGUAUUUCCAUAUCUCAUUUAGUAAUUGGUCGUUGGAGUUCUGAUUCGAAAGAAUUAUAUCACGAGGGCACAGUUAGUAUUUCGGUAACACGUUAUCAAGGAUUAUUGUGUACAUCCUUACGUCAUCUACCAAAUAUUUGCCUAUUUUCUGUUGGUUUCUUUACCAGCGCGCCGCUAUGCCGUUUGACGUUAUGACGUAAUAAUUGUGACGUCAGAAAAAAGAAUUGUUGCACAAUAACACACAAUUUUCGGCCUUCUUUCUUUAAUAGGAAAAACAAAUCGGCUCGUGUUAGAUUUACUCUUAGCAGAUAUUCUUUGUGUUGAUUCAGUAAGCACUCACAUACACACUCCUUAUUCUGAUGUGCUACUAUUAUACUGACAGAAAGAUUAUGUCUUUAAUUCACUUUCAGUUACAUUUGAUAGACAUUGCAGUUUCUUUUCUCCAGAUAUUCUCAGAACAUGUUUAGAUCUACUGCGAUUUAUCAAACUUCCUUUUGGUAAAUGAUACAUA